rnacentral:rRNA from 1 species
GAUGAACGCUGGCGGCGUGCUUAACACAUGCAAGUCGAACGGAAAGGCCCAAGCUUGCUUGGGUGCUCGAGUGGCGAACGGGUGAGUAACACGUGGGUGAUCUGCCCUGCACUUCGGGAUAAGCCUGGGAAACUGGGUCUAAUACCGGAUAGGACCACCUCUUGGAUGGUGUGGGUGAAAGUUUUUUCGGGGUGGGAUGGGCUCGCGGCCUUUCAGCUUGUUGGUGGGGUAAUGGCCUAACAAAGCGUCGAGGGGUAGCCGGCCUGGGAGGGUGUACGGGCAAAAUUGGGAUGGAGAACGGGCCAGACUUCCUCCGGGGGCAAGCAUUGGGGAUAAUGGAACAAUGGGGGGAAGCUUGAUGAACCACGGCGGCGGGGGGGAGGAGGGCUUCCGGUUUGUAAAUCCUUUCGCCCGGGGACGAACGGUGAGUGACGGUACCUGGUAAAGAAGCACCGGCUAACUACGUG